UAUAGAAAUAGAAUUCGAGAAGUCCAAAAGUCCCACCGUCUUCACACAAUUCAGAAACUCAAUUUGGAAGUUGCCCGUGAAGCGUAGCCAGAGGCGUCUGACAAAAGGUCAUCUACACAGGCAAAGGAGAGAAGGAGGAACUAUCACCGGCACCCCUCCUCCUCAGUUCGAGCUGCUAGACUUCUCCUAUUCGCGAGAGUUUCACUUGCUCAGAUUUGUUGUUUUUGGUGAAUUUCAUUCCCUUUAUUUAAUUGGUUUUGUUUGCCUCAAGCAUUAAAUUUUAGCACUGUAUGCAUCUUAUUGUUUGGGUUCACAGGUUCUUUGCAUAUUACUCGGAGGCUUGACAGAAGAAUUGAGAUUUCAAACCGCUGAGCUUCUCUCUAUUUUGCAUCAAUAUCAGAAAGUUACAUUCUUUUGGUUUUAGUUGAUGGAGAGUGGAUUGCGAUAUUCUGAACAUAAGUACUAUGAUUCUCUCAUGGAUCUGAACAGUGAGGAAGGAUCUAUCAAUGGAAGUUCAGAUGCAGAUAUGGAAGACACAGAUUUUACAAAAGAAGGUUCAUUUGCAGGAUUUCACAUUAUUCAGAGGGAAGCCAUAUCAGGAUUUGACAUUAGAUGAUUUGAAGGAAGUUGAGUUUAAUACGAUUGAGGAGGUCGACAGAUUCUACAAUUACUAUUCAUUGGCAAAGGGGUUCAGUAUGAGGAAGUGUAAGCAGGUCAAGAACCGUGCGGGUACACUGAUCAUUCGAAGGCAGCUUGUGUGUUCGAGGCAAGGACAGAGAAAACAGUCAGGCCCGGAUAGUGGUAAGCAGGAUAGUUGGAAGGACUCCUUUGUUAAGGAUUGUCGACAUAGAUCAGAUGGGAAGAAAGACAUCAUGGGCCAGCACCCUCAUAAAAAACCAAGGACAAAGAAUCGCCGAAUAACCAGAUGUAACUGUCCAGCAAGUUUAACAGUUAGGCUGUGUACCAAAAGAGGGGUCUACUAUGCCUCAUAAUUCUCCACUGAGCACAACCAUGCAUUGACUAGACCUGAGCACCGUCAUUUUUUAAGAUCGCAGCGGCAUGUUAGUGACUACAACCUUGCUCAAGUUAAUACAUUGAGGAAGGUUUCAGUGAGAACUUGCCGUGCAUAUGAAUUCCUCUUACACCAAGCCGGGGGCUAUGAGUUUGUUGGAUUUCAAGUGAGGGACCUGUACAAUAAAAUGCAGGGUGAACGGAGAGAAAUCAUGAUGGAUGGGGAUGCACAGUCUUCAAUAACGUGGAUGAAUUUGAAAGCAUUGCGGGACCCCCAUUUUUAUUGCAUAUUCAGUGUUGAUGAAGAGGGGAGGCUUGCAAAUAUGUUUGGGCGAGAUGGGCAGUCUUUAAUCGAUUACAAUGCUUUUGGAGAUGUUUUGAUUUUCGAUAGCACUUACAAGACCAAGAUAUAUGGAAGACCCUUGGCUGUAUUUGUUGGGUGUAACAACCACAGAGCAACUGUUCUUUUUGGUUGUGCACUAUUAGUUGAUGAAACUGAGUAAACUUACCAUUGGGCCAUCACAGCAUUUCUCACCUCUAUGUACGGCAAAAAACUAAUUUCUGUAAUCACUGAUAGUGAUGAAGCUAUGCGUAAUGCAGUGACUAAUCUCAUACCGGAGGCAAGACACCGUCUUUGUGCAUGGCAUAUUGUGAGAAACGUGUGUCAGCAUUUGAAAAACCCAAAAACCCAGACAGAUUUCUUUAAUUUGAUAUUUGCUGGUCUUACUGUUGAGUGUUGAGCAAUGGGAAUCUGCAUGGCAGUAUUUUGUGGUGAUGAAUCGGCUUGAGAACAACACAUGGGUGGCUGGUAUGUACAACAAACAUCAUAGAUGGGGGGAAGCCUUUUUUCGAGACCAUUUUUUUGCGGGAAUUUGCAGCACCCAAUGAUGUGAGGGGAUGCACAGAAAUCUGAAAUGAGUUAUUGGCCGUUGUAUGAGGUUGUACGAGGUGUUACCUAGGAUGGAAAAAACAGUUCAACGGAUCAGACAACAGGUUCUAUAUGAUGAUUAUUGCUCGGAGAACUGUGAACCAGUGUAUGGAUAUAAGUGAAAAUGAUGGUUCUAACCCAAACUGUACCAGAGUUCCCAAUUUCUUUCAACAUUUCAGGCCCUUCCCCAACGAUGAGGGCUACGAUGGUGCGUCACACAGUGAUGACAAUUAAUAUUUUGACUCCAGGUUGCUUUCCAAAGUACAGGAAAUGGUUCGGUCAGGAUUGACAAAGUGUUCAGGGAUGAGUCUUUGAAAAAUCUAUAAUUGUCAGUUGUUUUGGUGGACAUAGAUUACUGUUCCAGUAAAUGAACAGUAUAGAUGUGUAGUUCUAGGAUACUUUAUG